AUACAGGAAGAGGGUGAUUGGGGAGAUAGGAGAUACCUCUAGGAGAAAUCUCUAGGAGAUACAGGAAGUGGGGUGAUUGGGGAGAUAGGAGAUACCUCUAGGAGAUAUCUCUAGGAGAUACAGGAAGAGGGUGAUUGGUGAGAUAGGAGAUACCUCUAGGAGAUACAGGAAGAGGGUGAUUGGGGAGAUAGGAGAUAUCUCUAGGAAAUCCACCCCACAUAGCCUGGUUCCUCUCUAGGUUUCUUCCUAGGUUUUGGCNNNNNNNNNNNNNNNNNNNNNNNNNNNNNNNNNNUCUUUAUUCUUUUGGAACUUCUGUGAGUGUAAUGUUUACUGUUCAUUUCACUUUUGUGUAUUAUCUACUUCACUUGCUUUAGUGAGUGAGUGAGUGAGUGAGUGAGUGAGUGAGUGAGUGAGUGAGAUGCACUAUAUAGAGUAGGCUGCCAUUUGGGACAGAACCUAAGACGUGUAUUUGUGUUCUCCCUGCUUGUAUUCAGAGUGGCAUUUCAAUUACAGAGUAGAUGCAUCCUGUUGUUGUGAAAACCAUUUGGUCUCCUAGCCUCCUGUUUACUCUGUUAUUGUUAUUGUUUGAUGGUUUAUUUCACUCUGUUUUAUGAUCUAUUUCACUUGCUUUGGCGAUGUUAACACAUAGUUGGAAGUUUACAUACACCUGAGUAUGGUUGGACUAUGGAGAGAGUAUGGAGAGAGUACGCAUGGAGCGUGGAGAGAAUAUGGAUGGAGUAUAGGUGGAGUAUGGAGGAAGUAUGGGUAGAGUACAGAGGAAGUAUGGGUAGAGUAUGGAGGAAGUAUGGGUGGAGUAUGGAGGAAGUAUGGGUAGAGUACAGAGGAAGUAUGGGUAGAGUAUGGAGGAAGUAUGGGUAGAGUA
rnacentral:lncRNA from 13 species